UAACCUGCCUCAUAGCGGGGAUAACUAUUGGAACCGAUAGCUAAUACCGCAUAAGAGUAAUUAACACAUGUUAGUUAUUUAAAAGGAGCAAUUGCUUCACUGUGAGAUGGACCUGCGUUGUAUUAGCUAGUUGGUGAGGUAAAGGCUCACCAAGGCGACGAUACAUAGCCGACCUGAGAGGGUGAUCGGCCACACUGGGACUGAGACACGGCCCAGACUCCUACGGGAGGCAGCAGAG
rnacentral:rRNA from 1 species